rnacentral:rRNA from 1 species
AUUGAACGCUGGCGGCAGGCCUAACACAUGCAAGUCGAGCGGAGGAAGGGAGCUUGCUCCUGGAUUCAGCGGCGGACGGGUGAGUAAUGCCUAGGAAUCUGCCUGGCAGUGGGGGAUAACGUCCGGAAACGGGCGCUAAUACCGCAUACGUCCUGAGGGAGAAAGGGGGGGAUCUUCGGACCUCACGCUAUCAGAUGAGCCUAGGUCGGAUUAGCUAGUUGGUGGGGUAAAGGCCUACCAAGGCGACGAUCCGUAACUGGUCUGAGAGGAUGAUCAGUCACACUGGAACUGAGACACGGUCCAGACUCCUACGGGAGGCAGCAGUGGGGAAUAUUGGACAAUGGGCGAAAGCCUGAUCCAGCCAUGCCGCGUGUGUGAAGAAGGUCUUCGGAUUGUAAAGCACUUUAAGUUGGGAGGAAGGGCAGUAAGUUAAUACCUUGCUGUUUUGACGUUACCAACAGAAUAAGCACCGGCUAACUUCGUG